UGCGUAGGGGGCUAGCGUUAUCCGGAAUUACUGGGCGUAAAGGGUGCGUAGGUGGUUUCUUAAGUCAGAGGUGAAAGGCUACGGCUCAACCGUAGUAAGCCUUUGAAACUGGGAAACUUGAGUGCAGGAGAGGAGAGUGGAAUUCCUAGUGUAGCGGUGAAAUGCGUAGAUAUUAGGAGGAACACCAGUUGCGAAGGCGGCUCUCUGGACUGUAACUGACACUGAGGCACGAAAGCGUGGGGAGCAAACAGGAUUAGAUACCCUGGUAGUCCCUGA
rnacentral:rRNA from 1 species